AGAGGAUGCGAGUGGAUGGGCGAAGGGACAUGAGGCAAAUGGUGAAUGUCACGAGUGUAACUCGCACCAAUUCAGCCCUCGGCCAUUGGUGCCCCAUCAAACACUUUUCGUUCUCUAUAUUAGCCCAUUUAUUUUUCGCAUUUGGCAUAAGUCACUUAAGAAAGAAAUAAAAGAAAAUCGUGUGUGUGUGUGUGUGUGUGUGAGAGAGAGAGAGAGAGAGAUUGCGGCGUGAGAUAAAGAGAUGUUUAACCGGGGAAGGGUUAAGGCCGAGUGGUUGACCCAACCAGGCAGGUGGUCGGACGGUCUGGUCGACCACCCGUCUGGUGAGACAGUCUGGCAAGGCGAUUAGGCAGUUUUCAGAAAAAGACC
rnacentral:lncRNA from 1 species